rnacentral:rRNA from 1 species
UUAACGGAGAGUUUGAUUCUGGCUCAGAACGAACGCUGGCGGCGUGGAUAAGACAUGCAAGUCGAGCGAGAUUUUUUCCUGUAGCAAUACAGGGAAAAGUCUAGCGGCGAACGGGUGCUUAACACGUGGGCAAUCUGCCGAGAAGUGGGGGAUAGCUCGCCGAAAGGCGAAUUAAUACCGCAUGUGAUUAGAGUGGACAUCCAUUCGAAAUCAAAGUCGGGGCAACCUGACGCUUUUUGAGGAGCCCGCGGCCUAUCAGCUAGUUGGUGAGGUAACGGCUCACCAAGGCUUUGACGGGUAGCUGGUCUGAGAGGACGACCAGCCACACUGGGACUGAGACACGGCCCAGACACCUACGGGUGGCAGCAGUCGAGAAUUUUUCUCAAUGGGGGAAACCCUGAAGGAGCGACGCCGCGUGGAGGAUGAAGGUCUUCGGGUUGUAAACUCCUGUCAUUU